UACGUAGGGUGCGAGCGUUGUCCGGAAUUAUUGGGCGUAAAGAGCGUGUAGGCGGCUUUACAGGUCCGUUGUGAAAACUCGAGGCUCAACCUCGAGACGCCGGUGGAAACCGUAAAGCUAGAGUCCGGAAGAGGAGACUGGAAUUCCUGGUGUAGCAGUGAAAUGCGUAGAUAUCAGGAGGAAUACCGAUGGCGAAGGCAGGUCUCUGGGCUGACACUGACGCUCAUGCACGAAAGCGUGGGGAGCAAACAGG
rnacentral:rRNA from 1 species